rnacentral:rRNA from 1 species
GAUGAACGCUGGCGGCGUGCCUAAUACAUGCAAGUCGAGCGAACAGACGAGGAGCUUGCUCCUCUGACGUUAGCGGCGCACGGGUGAGUAACACGUGGAUAACCUACCUAUAAGACUGGGAUAACUUCGGGACACCGGCGCUAAUACCGGAUAAUAUAUUGAACCGCAUGGUGCAAUAGUGAAAGACGGGUUUGCUGUCACUUGUGGAUGGAUCCGCGCCGCAUUAGCUAGUUGGUCAGGUAACGGCUUACCAAGGCAACGAUGCGUAGCCGGACUGAGAGGGUGGACGACCACAUUGGGAAUGAGAUAGGGACGAGACGCCUACGGGAGGAAGCAGUGGGGAAUAUGGCACAAUGGGCGGAAGCCUGAUGCAGAGAAGCGGCGUGGGGGAUGACGGCCUUCGGGUUGUAAACUCUUUGCGACAGGGACGAAGCGAAAGUGACGGUACCGUGAUAAGAAGCACCGGCUAACUACGUG